GAUUCUGGCUCAGGACGAACGCUGGCGGCGUGCCUAAUACAUGCAAGUAGAACGCUGAAGGAGGAGCUUGCUUCUCUGGAUGAGUUGCGAACGGGUGAGUAACGCGUAGGUAACCUGCCUGGUAGCGGGGGAUAACUAUUGGAAACGAUAGCUAAUACCGCAUAAUAGUAGAUGUUGCAUGACAUUUGCUUAAAAGGUGCAAUUGCAUCACUACCAGAUGGACCUGCGUUG
rnacentral:rRNA from 1 species